AAUGAUAGCAUUUUUUUUAGAUAUAAUUGCAAUAAUAAAAAGCAUUAGCGAACCCCAAAAUUUAACUAACAAAGAAACUAGAAAAGAAUACAUUAAGACAGAUAUUGAAUUAAUCGAUGACAGCAAUCAAUCAAUAAUAUUACACUAUUGGGGAAAUGGUAAUGUAAAAUUACAAGAAAACAUGAUCACUGCUUUAAGAGAAUUAAAAUUUCUGAGUACGAAGGCAUCAAAAGAGUCAACAUUACAAAUUCAACAAUAAUUGAUAUAGAUUACAAUGGAGAAGAAAAAACAAGAUUGAGUAAAUGGAUGCAAGAUGAAGCUAAAUAAUAAUUUGAAAUCGAUAUUUAAGAAUGUAUUUAUUUAAUUUAAAAAAUAUAUAAAAUAACAGAAUACAUUGAAAUCUUACUUUUCUUGAAAAACAUAUUCAAGUUCAUAAUUGAUACUAUUAAAUAAAAUAAUACUAAUUUUUGAAAAUGAUUUUUCAAUACAGAAAUAUUAUUGUUAAACAAUGAUAAUAACGGAUAAUAAUGGUUUUAUUUAAUUUUUUAUUUAAUUUUAUUUUAAUUUUCUACUGAGGAGGUGCAUGUUAUCAUUCAAAUAAAUUGCUCUUUAAUUCAACUGCAAUGUGUAAAAAAGCAAAUCUUAUUUAUUUUAUGUCGUUAAAUUG